GGGCCUGUGGAGGAAAAGUUAAAUAUUAAAUUUGAACUCAACUGAACAUGGACACAAACAGUGGUCACCAAGUCCUGGAACAGGUUGUGUGAGCCCCUUGAGGCGUUCAUCCAGCGCUGUUUCGGAGAAAUCUCUAUUUCAAUCUAUUCCUAUUCGUUAGUUAUUGAAAAACAACAGAUAACCACAAAAACAAGUUGACCUUUUUGUGUUCCUUGAGCCCAGUCGUGAAGGGCCCUCGUGGCUGGGCCUCAUGCCAAAUAACUCCUUACAAAAAGAGCCAGGGUCCCAGACUCUGCUGAAGCUUCAUGAGACCUCUCCUUGUCUGUGCAUGGACGAGUGGCUGACUCUGGAGCUCAGGCUGUUGCUUCCCAGUGUGGUGGUGAAUCCUCCCUAGUCUGGAACCGUUUGGAUGGUGGAGAUCAUCAGUCUGAUCCACUCCAAGGGAGAUCCUACUUGGGUCCAAUCUGUUGUUCCCUGGGAUCGUUCCCCAUGGAUAGACGUUAAACAGGAGAAAGCAGGUUUGGAGAGUCAGAAGAGCCCACACCUCUACACCUCCCACCUUCCUAUUCAGUUCUUCCCCAAGUCAUUCUUCAAUUCCAAGGUCAAGGUUCAUCCCUGGACCUGCACUAUGAUUCCUGCGCAGACUGAAGGAGCUCUUUUCAAACUGGUUGUCAUGUAGGUUGUGGG